rnacentral:rRNA from 1 species
CCUACGGGAGGCAGCAGUCGAGAAUCAUUCACAAUGGGGGAAACUCUGAUGGUGCGACGCCGCGUGGGGGAAUGAAGGUCUUCGGACUGUAAACCUCUGUCAUGUGGGAGCAAAUUAAAAAGAUAGUACCACAAGAGGAAGAGACGGCUAACUCUGUGCCAGCAGCCGCGGUAAUACAGAGGUCUCAAGCGUUGUUCGGAAUCACUGGGCGUAAAGUGUGCGUAGGCUGUUUGGUAAGUCGUGGGUGAAAGGCGCGGGCUCAACCCGCGGACGGCACAUGAUACUGCGAGACUAGAGUAAUGGAGGGGGGACCGGAAUUCUCGGUGUAGCAGUGAAAUGCGUAGAUAUCGAGAGGAACACUCGUUGCGAAGGCGGGUUCCUGGACAUUAACUGACGCUGAGGCACGAAGGCCAGGGGAGCGAAAGGGAUUAGAUACCCCAGUAGUC